ACUUUACUGACUGAUUUUCAAUCUCUACCUUCUAAUUUGUGUGGAAGAAUGAAAGGAAAACCCAAGCAGUGAAGGAAGUCAACAAAGGAAAGUUGAUGUGAUCAUAAUUGAACCAAGGAAGCCCCAUUCCAGCAGCAGAAGUUGGCAGCUUUUGACAGAUGCUGAUUUCUGUGCCGCCAGAGCCGAUUCCAGACUGGACUUCGACAUUGUUAUUCCAAUUGCCCAGCACUUGCCUUGUAUUUAGUAAACACUCCCUCUUGCACCUUCUGAUUGGUUUUAAGAAGAAUCUGAAGGCCUGGAGCGAAGCAGGACAGGCUAGGAAAGACUUCUGGGGAGAGACUGAACUCCAGGAAAGUCAGGGGCUAGAACAUUUGCCAGCUGGACACACGGAUGAAGAAGUGGACCCACACUAGAGACCGAGAGCUUGAUGAAGCUUGGUGGCCAAAGCUGUUUUAUGCCAAGGGCUCAUAGAAAUCGAAUCAAAUCAAAUCCAGGCAGCAUAGCAGGAGAGGAAGAAGACAGACAGAGAUCUGCAGACCGCGCAGGAGAGGAGGAAGACCGAGAUCUGCAGAUCGCCCUGCCACUGACAGACCUGCCUUUGGUGGUCCGUGCGCCGUAGACACCCACUGGAUGGAGGAUAUCACCCAGGCGCCAGCGCCAGCCUGCAACGGGAGUCACCACAGUUUGGGAAUACGUGGUGAACAGAUAGGAGAGAAAGAGAGGUGGACCUGGAGACUCGAGAGUGCGGAGGAGAAGCCUGUUGUGAGUGACCAGCCCUGCCACCUGGGGCCAUGGCGAGGUUUCAGCCCAAGCUGCCGCUGAGGGCCAUGGCUGGGUGUGUGGCUAAGCAGCAGAAGGGUCGAUAACCAUGGCUCAUAUUGCCACCCGAGAACAUGGAGGACAUCCUCAGUCAAGUUAGCUGCCUGGGACCACUUGGAUAUUCAGGGGAUGUGCAGAAUUGACCCGGCCCCCUCACCAGCCAUAGCACUCGGGAGAGUGGGCCCUGCGUCUCACCUGGACAACACAGUAGAUCUGGCUCUGAUGGUGCAGUCAUGGGUGAGCCGACCCCAAGGGUGUGAAAGCAGGCAAGCUAUCCCAGUCCCAGCACUUAUGGCCCCACGCCUCAACUGGGGAGCACAAUGGAGCUGGCUCUGGAGGCAUGGGUGCGGGUGAGCUGCUCUGAGGGCCUGAGAUCUCGCGGGAGAGCUGAGCCUACUUCCUGUUGAUGGUCUAGCCAGGGCAGUGCUGGAGAGCUUACCCUGGAGGGUCUGAUAAGGGAGAGCCCGCAUGCUGACAGGCUCAGCUACCACCCAGGCCCGGAUCCAGGGCUCUGAAUUGGUCCAUCCCAAAAAUCUAUGUCAUCUGUGAACAGUUGGGAUGCAUGAAAGGGAUGGUCCUGCUGAUCCAAAGCUGCAAGUUCUCCAUGACAACCAACAACAGAAUAACCAGGAGGAGUCCUGAUGAGGAUUCAAUAUUAAUGGUAUCACAGAAACCAGAGACCUUGAACCAGACCAAUGACUCACUGCUAUGAACAUUUUCCAGUGAAGAUGUGUGCACAGGGGUGGGGGUGUAUACUGUCAGACACACUGUGACAUACUGCCGCUUCUAUGAUG